UACGUAGGGAGCAAGCGUUGUCCGGAAUCAUUGGGCGUAAAGCGCGCGUAGGCGGCCCUGUAAGUCCGUGGUGAAAGUCAAAGGCUCAACCUUUGAAAGCCGAUGGAUACUGCAGGGCUAGAGUCCGGAAGAGGCGAGUGGAAUUCCUGGUGUAGCGGUGGAAUGCGCAGAUAUCAGGAGGAACACCAAUAGCGAAGGCAGCUCGCUGGGACGGUACUGACGCUAAGGCGCGAAAGCGUGGGGAGCGAACAGG
rnacentral:rRNA from 1 species